rnacentral:rRNA from 1 species
UCGAGCGAGAAAGAGUAGCAAUACAUGAGUACAGCGGCGCACGGGUGAGUAACACGUGGAUAACCUGCCUCAAAGUGGGGAAUAACACCGGGAAACCGGUGCUAAUACCGCAUAUUCUGACGAGGUCUGCGGAUUUCGUCAGGAAAGGAGCAAUUCGCUAUGAGAGGGGUCCGCGGCUGAUUAGCUAGUUGGUGAGGUAAUGGCUCACCAAGGCCACGAUCAGUAGCCGGUCUGAGAGGACGGUCGGCCACACUGGAACUGAGACACGGUCCAGACUCCUACGGGAGGCAGCAGUGGGGAAUUUUUCGCAAUGGGGGCAACCCUGACGAAGCAAUGCCGCGUGGAUGAUGAAGUCUCUUGGGACGUAAAAUCCUUUCGACAGGGACGAAACCGCAAGGUUGACGGUACCUGUAGAAGAAGCCCCGGCUAACUCCGUGCCAGCAGCCGCGGUAAUACGGGGGGGGCAAGCGUUG